ensembl:lncRNA
CAUCACCACAGCUCUCUACUCCCAGAGACCUCAAGACAAAUGACAAACCAGCCAUUUUUCCAAGGCUCCUCUGUGAAGUGACCCUUCACUCUAGCAGCAGGGACAUGGGUGUGACAUGUUAUUAGACACCCGACAGAAGCAGGCUGUACAGAGAACAGAGAGAACACCUUGGACAAAGGCCUCAAGGUGGAAGUGCUAGCAUGUUCUGGGGCUUCUGAUGAUGCAUGCACAGUCAGUACACCUUCUGUUUUGACAAUAUUGAAAACACCUCCCGCUGAGCCUUCAUAGCUACCACGAGUAAGAGUACUGGCAGUGAAGCCCCAGUGUGACCCCAGGGGCAGAGGAGCAGAGGGAAAUUUCCCACUCUUGUGGACUCAGCAGCGACAGGAACAGACAGGGUUUCGCUGAGUAGCCCUGGAUGUCCUGGAACUCACUUUGUAGACUAGGCUAUCCUCAAAUUCACAGAUCUGCCUUCCUUUGCCGCCCAAGUGCUGGGAUGAAAGGAGUGGGCCACCACCUCCCAGUCUCAGGACAGUGACUUGUAUUGACCUCAGUUUGCAUCUCAGAUCAACCCUGUGGAUCUGCAGAGAGAGAGAGCAUCGGUUCAUUAGUGUGAGAAUGCCGUUUCCACCCUUUCCUUGCUGGAGAAGACCAAUAAUGGCUCCUUAGGGAGCUCCAGAGUAAGAGAAUUCCCAGGCUCCCAUCAGAGUGGAGAGGAGCUGAAGUAGCACUGGGCCUCCAAGCCUAAGAGAGAGGAGCUGGGCUUCCAACUCAGGGGCCCUAGGAGCUACCAUGGCCCAGUCAGCACCCAGACCAAUCCCAAAAAACACCCUGGAAGCCUAGGAUUGUGGAAUGUGCUAGAACUUAAGUCCACCUGAGAUGUGAUCCACUGGAGUGUCCAUGAUUCCAGGGAAAACUGUGUUGGGGCUGGUGACUCCUUCCUGGGUCCAAAAGCACAGACACCAGCACCACACUGAGACAGAGUCCAUCGCCUGGCUGAUGUCAAUCAAGGGCACUGAGGUCUCUCCUGGCCUAGUCGCCCUUCAUUCCUUCAUUCCUUCAACAAGUGUGAGUGAUGGAGAUGAUUUCUGUACCAACUAUUAUUAUUUACCACGUGUUUGCUCAUCAGGCUGUUGGCCAGGGGAAAGAGACUUUUUACCACACAUCAUCUUAGCAAUUGAGCAAAAAUGACCUCAGACCGUCUGUGAAAACUGCCUCCAAAUGUACCAAGGGCUUUAUGUGAAAUACAAGACUGCAAUUUCUCAGAGGAGAAAGGGAGCCAUUUUUGUGACCUUGGUGUAGGGGAGGCUGAAAGCAUGAGCCAUAGAGAAAAAUCUGUUGAUUCUAUCAAAGUUAAAAAUCUUUUGCUCUGCAGAAGACACUGUUAGGAGAGUGACAGGCUGGCCACAGCUGGGCAGGAAGCAUCUGCAAUUCAUAUGUGACAAUGCACUUAUGUGCAUGGCGUAAAAAUAACCUCAGUCACAAUAACAACCAAACAAAGACCUCAGUGUUCUUUAAUUGGCAAACAUUUCACAGACGUUUUACUCUCUAGUGUACAAGCAGCAAAUGCACAAGGGAAGAGAUGCCGAGUUUCAUGAGUUAUGAAGAAAUUGAAGGUGAAGCUGCAAGCUUCAGAAUUGUCAGAGUCACCUAGUAGAUCUUCGGGGAUGCAAGUGGGGGCUUAUUUAGAGUAUAUUAUUGAUGUGGGAAGACAUGCCUACAAUAGGUGGCACCAUUCCUUGGCUGAGAUCCUGGACUGGGGAUGAUUGGAGGAAGGGAGUUGGUCAGUAGCAUGGAUUAAUCUCUCUCUGUUUCCUGAGUGCAGGUGCAGUGUGAUCAGCAACCCUCUUGCUCCGGUCACUAUAUAUCCCCUGCCUGCUUUCAUGGUUUUCUCACCAUGAUGGAUUUUGUCCCCUCUAUAACUGCGAGCCUUCCCCAACCCCAUUCUUUUUUUUUCUUAAAGAUUUUAUUUAUUUAUUAUGUAUACAACAUUCUGCUUCCAUGUUUAUCUGCACACCAGAAGAGGACACCAGAUCUCAUAACGGAUGGCUGUGAGCCACCAUGUGGUUGCUGGGAAUUGAACUCAGGACCUCUGGAAGAGCAGUCAGUGCUCUUAACCUCUGAGCCAUCUCUCUAACCCAUUCUUUCUUCAGUUGCUUUUGACAUAGUAUUUCAUCACAGCAGUGAGAAAGUAACUAUGACAAAAACACUAAUAAAUAAUAAAUUAGCAUGG